rnacentral:ncRNA from 1 species
GAAAAGUUUUAGUUAAGCUUAAAAAUUUGGUUUAAGAUUAUUAUACAUGUAAGUUUUAGCGUGAUUUAAAAUUAGAUUUAAAUAUUUUAUAAAAAUUUUCAUUCGCAGUAUUUAUUUUUAUAUGUUAGGUAAUCCUUGAUAUAUUAAUUUUUUAUAGUACUAACAAAGCUUGUGCCAGCAGUUGCGGUUAUACAAGUAGUACAAUUAAAUUUUCUCUAAGGGGAAUUAAAUUGAAUUCUUUGUAUUAGAUCAAGGUUAUUUAGGUGAAAUUUAAACUUUGAGUUAAUUCAUUUUUUAUUUUGAUUGAUUUUCUAAAUCCUUAUUGUAAACUAGGAUUAGAUACCCUAUUAUUUAGGUUGUAAAUUUUAUUCUUAGAUUAGUAUUAGUUAUUUUCUUGAAAAUUAAAGACUUUGGCGGUGAUUUAGACCAUUCAGGGGAAUCUGUCUCUUAAUUGAUAUUCCACGAUUUAUUUUACCUUUUUUAGAAGCUUGUAUAUCGUCGUGGUUAGAAAAUUUUAUUAGAAUAUUUUCUUGAUAUAUAAUUAUAUAUUAAAUCAGAUCAGGGUGCAGUUUAUAGAAAGGUAUUGAUGGAUUACACUUAAUUUAUUAAUGGAUAUUGAUUUUAAAAAUUGAUUGAAAUUGGAUUUGAUAGUAAUAUGUUUAAAAUUAAUCAUAUGAUUUAGGCUCUGGGUCAUGCACAUAUCGCCCGUCGCUUUCAUUAUAAUUGGAAUAAGUCGUAACAGAGUAGAUGUACUGGAAAGUGUAUCUGGAAUGAU